CAGAGUCCUAGUUGAAGUUGAUGCUGCUUAUUCUCUUCCUGACCAAUUAGAGAUUGAAACUCCUUAUGGCCCUAAGAUCCAGACAAUUGAGUAUAACUGGAAGCCUUGUUUCUGUAAUCAUUGCCUAAAAUUUGGGCAUGAUUCAUUGGAUUGCUGGUAUUAUACUGAUAACAGUGCAGAGAAGGAAAUGGAGGAGCAGGAUAAACCAAGGAGGUAGAAAGGGAAAGUGAAACAGCA
rnacentral:lncRNA from 1 species